GUUGGUGAACCAGCGGAGGGAUCAUUACAGAGUUGCAAAACUCCCAACCAUUGUGAACAUACCUCACCGUUGCUUCGGCGGGUGGCUCCACUAACAAGGGGCCGCGCCGGCCCCCCUCUCGGGGCCGGCAACCCGUCAGAAGACCGAAACUCUUAGUCAUCAUUGGCCUCUCUGAGUAACUUAUACAAUAAGUCAAAACUUUCAACAACGGAUCUCUUGGUUCUG
rnacentral:misc_RNA from 1 species